rnacentral:pre_miRNA from 1 species
AAACUACUCCCUCUGUUCGAAAUUACUUGUCGCGAAAAUGGAUGUAUCUAGAUGUAUUUUAGUUCUAGAUACUUCCAUUUUUAAGACAAGUAAUUCCGAACGGAGGGAGUAGUGG